CAACCCCUCAGGCCCUGGUGCCUGGCGUCGGGGCUCUCCCGGAAGGGAGUCCCCUAGAGACAGUGGCGGACCCGCCGCGGCUCCGAGCGCAGUAGUAAAAUUCUCGCUUAGGAGGCCCGCGGAGGUGAUUUCUGGCCGUAAAAACUCUUUUCCACAA
rnacentral:misc_RNA from 1 species